rnacentral:tRNA from 1 species
GGGCGGUUAGCUCAGUUGGUAGAGCGUCUCGUUUACACCGAGAGUGUCAUAGGUUCGAGUCCUGUACCGCCUACCA